GGAGACCAUGGCAGCCUUCAGGGAUAUGAGGGACACUACACAGGCCCGUGACCAUCACACGCCCAGCCUGGCCCCGUGCUGUGCCUGAGCAGAGGACUGUUGGCAGAUGGUUCACUUCCACCCUCCAUGAUAAAUGCUGAGAAAAGAAAGAUCAAGGGCUUCAGAGCCCACUGGAGGGAAUUCAUACAGCCGGGGGCCCAGGAAGCUGCUAAGGAAACUGCCUGGACGGCAGGGUGGCCGUGACCACGGGGACGGGGAGAAGGACCCAGAGGAGCUGAGGAAUCCUUGCUGUGGAAGGCACCAUAUGAGCUGCGUGAAGUCAGAGUCAAAAGCAAACCCGUCUCUUCUUGACAGUGGGACCCAGGAGGCAGGACAACCUGCCAGAG
rnacentral:lncRNA from 1 species